AAGAACAAAGGAAGAAAAGAAAGAACAAGAACCCUAAGGUGAAAAUUCAAGAGAAAAUUGGUGGAUUUCAAGUAAUCAACUAAUCAAAGGUAAAAUUUUUUGAUUUUGACUUGUGAUCUACCUUUCCCAUACAUUCUUUUGCAUUUUCCAUGGUUGAAUCACAAGAUAUCAUGAAGGAUUCAUGGCUGACCGAAUUUAGAGAGAGAAGAUUUGAUGAUUUAUUUGGUUAGAUUUUGAGAUAUUUUAGUGUUUUUAGUUGAUUGGUGAUGUGUAGCAUGAAAAAUCAAGCAAGAAAAAUCAAGCAAGAAAAAUUCAUUUUCUCCCAUCACCCAUCAUUGGCAGAAUUCUCCAUGUAGAAUAUUGAUGAUGAUUUUGAUUUUAUUUCAAGUGAUUUGGUUAGGAAUUAGUGAAUUAUGGUGUGAGAAUCAAGCUUGAAAAAUUAUAAUGUUGAUGCACCCACCUUGGCCGAAUUUUCCAAGAGAAAAUGUGAGGAUGAUUUUGCCAUAUUUCAAGUUAUUUAAUUUGUGUUUGAUGAUUUGGAGUAUUGGGAGAAAUAUGAAAUUAUUUGGAGUUAAAUUGGACAUAUUGGGUAAUUAAUCGAGUGAUAGAUCGAAUUAGGCCAAUACCGUUUUAUUUAUGUACACAAUUGAAUUUGUGUAGAACACUGUGUUUAGACGAUAAUCCGAACAAUUUGCAUUCCAUUUCAUGCAUUAGUAAAGAGCCUGGAUAGAUUUAUAAUGGUAUGACACAGUAUAUUGAAUUAUGUGUCGUGUAUUGUAUAUAGGUGGUGAGCCCUCUAACAAGGGUAAAGACGUUGUGUCAAAGGACUGAGAAUAAGAGUAUUUCAAACUCCUGAUAUAGUGAGUAACCUUACUAUCGUCUUAAUUAUCUAAAGUGAUUUUUAUCCAAUUUUGUGAUUUUAUGGAAAAUGAGUUUAAAUGGUAAAUCUUUAUGUUUUAUAAGCAAAAUGUGAUUAAAUGAAAAUGAUUUUAUAAAAUUGUCUUGAAAUUGAAAGAUAGUUUUGAAAAUGGAGUAAUUGGAGACUAAUUGAUGUGUUAUAAAUCAUGGUUUGAAUUGAAUGGCUUAUAAUAAUAUUGGCAUGAAUGGCUGAAUUGGUAUUUGUGUUGAAAAUGUAUGAACUGUUAAUUUGCCUUGAGAGGUUGUAAAAUAAAAUGAUUGCCAUGUCAUGCUGUUGAAUUUUAUUGAAUUGGUGGGUUAUAUAUUGGUCGCUGCAGUGGACGGGCUCUGUGGACCAGCCUAUUAGAGGGGCACGGUAACCCUAUUAUAUUCAUACCUCAGUAUGAGAGGCACGGUUGGAUAACUCCUGAGGUUAAAACUGUAGAGUUCACUUCACGUCAAACCACCACGUGAGGGUGAACUCAACCAACGCCAAGGAACGACUAUACUUUCAAAAUAAAAACAUGAUUUAUGCGUACAUAACUUUUUAACAACCUUGGUGUUCUCGGUUGGGAUAGCCCUCGGCCAAGGUAUCCCUGAUAACUGAGUAUGAGAAUGAUUUUGGCACGAGCCAAAGUUUUAAGAAAUUCAUAAGCCAUGUUGAUUACUCGAUUUAUAUGAAUUGAUUUUAUUUGGUUGAAGUGAGUUGAAAGGUGAUGAAUUACAGUAUGUUAAACUAUUCUAAUCUGUCUCCAUUUACUCAACUUUAGAUAUUUUAGAUGGUAUUUGUUUACUCACUAGGAUUAUAUAAUCUCACCACCCUCCUUUCCACUCAUUUCAGGCUUAGGAUAGUCGGUAGAUAGCUCACUUUGUUGAGGGCUACAGUUGGACUUGCAUCCUCAAAAACUGUAGGUUUACCGCUUUUGAUACUUUUGGUCGUUCGUGGGCCCACGUGUCACUAUAAAUUAAAUCUUAUGCUUUAGUUAUCUGUAUUACAGUAUGUAUGAAUUUAUUUAGCUUUUACGUUAUAAAAAUUAUUUACCGAUAACUCUAUAAAUAUUGUUUUAUAAGAAAAUAAAAUAUUUUAUUGAAUAUUUUUAUUAUAU
rnacentral:lncRNA from 1 species